CCUACGGGUGGCUGCAGUGAGGAAUAUUGGUCAAUGGGCUUACGCCUGAACCAGCCAAGUCGCGUGAGGGAAGACUGCCCUAUGGGUUGUAAACCUCUUUUGUCAGGGAGCAACGCCGGCUACGUGUAGCCGGACUGAGAGUACCUGAAGAAAAAACAUCGCUUAACUCCGUGCCAGCAGCCGCGGUAAUACGGAGGUUGCGACCGUUAUCCGGAUUUAUUGGGUUUAAAGGGUGCGUAGGCGGAAUGCGAAGUCAGCGGUAAAAUCGCGGGGCUCAACCCCGCUCCGCCGUUGAAACUGGCGUUCUGGAGUGGGCGAGAAGUAUGCGGAAUGCGUGGUGUAGCGGUGAAAUGCAUAGAUAUCGCGCAGAACCCCGAUUGCGAAGGCAGCAUACCGGCGCCCAACUGACGCUGAAGCACGAAAGCGUGGGUAUCGAACAGGAUUAGAUACCCGGGUAGUC
rnacentral:rRNA from 1 species